rnacentral:rRNA from 1 species
GACGAACGCUGGCGGCGUGCUUAACACAUGCAAGUCGAACGGAAAGGCCUCUUUCGGGGGGUACUCGAGUGGCGAACGGGUGAGUAACACGUGAGUAACCUGCCCUUGACUUUGGGAUAACUUCAGGAAACUGGGGCUAAUACCGGAUAGGAGCUCCUGCUGCAUGGUGGGGGUUGGAAAGUUUCGGCGGUUGGGGAUGGACUCGCGGCUUAUCAGCUUGUUGGUGGGGUAGUGGCUUACCAAGGCUUUGACGGGUAGCCGGCCUGAGAGGGUGACCGGCCACAUUGGGGCUGAGGUACGGCCCAGGCUCCGACGGGGGGCAGCAGUGGGGAAUAUUGCACAAUGGGUGGAAGCCUGAUGCAGCAACGCCGUGUGCGGGAUGACGGCCUUCGGGUUGUAAACCGCUUUCGCUCAUGACGAAGCUUUGUGUGACGGUAGUGGGUAAAGAAGCACCGGCUAACUACGUG